rnacentral:snRNA from 1 species
CGCGCCUAACGGCGUGCCUCG